rnacentral:tRNA from 1 species
GGGGCCGUAGCUCAAUCGGUCCAGAGCGCCGGCCUGUCACGCCGGAGGUUGCGGGUUCGAGUCCCGUCGGCCUCG